AACGAACGCUGGCGGCGUGCCUAACACAUGCAAGUCGAACGAGAAUUUUCCUUUCGGGGAAAUAGUAAAGUGGCGCAAGGGUGAGUAACACGUGAAUAAUCUGCCUACGAAUUCGGGAUAACGCGGGGAAACCUGUGCUAAUACCGGAUAAGACCACGUCUCUUAUGUGAUGUGGCCAAAGGAGUCUCAAACUCCGUUUGUAGAUGAGUUCGCGGACCAUUAGCUUGUUGGAGGGAUAACAGCCCCCCAAGGCGACGAUGGUUAGCCGGCCUGAGAGGGUGAUCGGCCACACUGGAACUGAGACACGGUCCAGACUCCGUACGGGAGGCAGCAGUGGGGAAUAUUGCGCAAUGGGCGAAAGCCUGACGCAGCAACGCCGCGUGAGGGAUG
rnacentral:rRNA from 1 species